AUGCUGAUGAUGGAGAGUGACGCUGCGCGGACGCCACGCUCUGAUUGGCUGCACGCUCGCGACGCUCUUGACGCGCUGUCCUGCAGCAGCGGCGCGGGGCAGACGCUCGCUCGCGGAGGUGAUGCUGAAGACGCUCUCGGCUUCUGUCAGAAACGGCCAUCAGCUGAGAGACGGAGGUCCACGACAUCGCGAGCAGAAGCCGCUGCUGGAGAACAAGACUAAGGAGCCUGGCCUGGAUUCUGCUUUCACACAUCAGGACGAGAUGGAUCUGCUCGAGCGCCGCUCCGCUGAGGAGGAGCACCAGACAUCCCAGAGGAUAAUGUGUUUGAGCGACGGAGGAUACGAACUGCAAAAUCAUCAGAUGGUGACAGACAUGGAGAAUAACAUCACAGUGAACACACAUCCACUGGAGAGCACAGUACUGAUCAUCCAGCAUGACUGGCGAGACUUCCUGCAGACACAGGAUAUCCUGGAGAAGAGAAGCCCCUCCCCUCCCUCUCUGUCCUCAGACAAGAUGAGCACGUCCAUCAGCAUGACCACCCUAUCAGAUGGCAGCACCCCCGUAAGCCCCACCCUCUUUCCUCUUCCGUAGGCUGAUGGUGUAGAUGCAGGAGUUUGAAGUGUUUGUUAGGUUUUGGUCAGUUUGGUCUGAAGGUCAUGACGUUGUGGAGCAUCAAAUGCAUUUGGUAAUGCUUGUUUUCAGACAUGUUCCCUGGUAGUAAUCAAGGUAGUAUUUGACAUACCUUUGACACACCUAUUAUGUAAAUAAGGAUGUGGAGCAGUUGUUCUUCUGUGCUGAGAAGAUUGUGACUAUUUUGUUGUUUGAUGAAAUCUUAGGGAAUCUGAGUAUCUCACACUUGGUUGAAUAUCUCAUAUGUAACCAGAAGAGGGAUCUGUUGUUUAGGCAUUAGCGUACAGUGCAGGUUAACACACACACACACACACACACACACACACACACACACACAUACUCUCUGAGCAGGUGUUUCUUUUGAUUGAUUUAACAAACAAGUUCUCUGUAGUAUGAAUGUGUGUAGUAUGAACAUUAUCUGAAUACCUGUGAUGUUGUCAUUGUCAUGUGAUCUGCUAACAUCAGUUGUGUCCCUUCACCGUGAUUCACAAAUCCUCACCCGUGGCCUCAAGGGAUAAUACAGUGUCCAUCGGAAGCACACUUUAGAGUCUCUUUGGAAGUAGCUGGUUAUCCCAGUACUUUUCAUCUACUGUUUUAUGUAUAUUAAUUUGGACAUACUACUGUUUAUAUAAGUUCCCUUUCAGCCGGACACUCCGAGUCAUGUCGGUGACCGACGAAUUGGGAUCUCGGAAUCCGUGCCUCCCCACCCAGGCCUGUAGGUACUUGUCUGGUCUGUCCGAUGAUGCUUAUGCGGCCUGUGGAGAAGCUGCCUCCGCCUUACACACUACGCCAUUACUGCAGGUUCUUCAGGCUAAAGAACUGAGGGACCUGCACGAGGGUGGUCACGAUCUCGAAGUUCUGAAAGAGCUCAGAACCGCAACUGAUCUUGCACUCUGAGCUGCGAAUGUCACCUCGAGUUCUCUGGGUUGUGCGAUAUCCACACUUGUGGUCCAGGAGUGCC
ensembl:lncRNA